rnacentral:rRNA from 1 species
UACGUAGGGUGCAAGCGUUAAUCGGAAUUACUGGGCGUAAAGCGUGCGCAGGCGGUUUGUAAGUCUGUCGUGAAAGCCCCGGGCUCAACCUGGGAAUGGCGAUGGAGACUGCAAGGCUAGAGUGUGUCAGAGGGGGGUAGAAUUCCACGUGUAGCAGUGAAAUGCGUAGAGAUGUGGAGGAACACCGAUGGCGAAGGCAGCCCCCCUGGGAUAACACUGACGCUCAUGCACGAAAGCGUGGGGAGCAAACAGG